rnacentral:tRNA from 1 species
UUCUUUGUAGCUCAAUGGUAGAGCAAAUGGCUGUUAACCAUUCGGUUGUAGGUUCAAACCCUAUCAAAGAAG